rnacentral:rRNA from 1 species
CCUACGGGUGGCAGCAGUGAGGAAUAUUGGUCAAUGGACGAGAGUCUGAACCAGCCACGUAGCGUGAAGGAUGACUGCCCUCUGGGUUGUAAACUUCUUUUAUAUGGGAAUAAAAUGUUCCACGUGUGGGAUUUUGUAUGUACCAUAUGAAUAAGGAUCGGCGAACUCCGUGCCAGCAGCCGCGGUAAUACGGAGGAUCCGAGCGUUAUCCGGAUUUAUUGGGUUUAAAGGGAGCGUAGGUGGAUUGUUAAGUCAGUUGUGAAAGUUUGCGGCUCAACCGUAAAAUUGCAGUUGAAACUGGCAGUCUUGAGUACAGUAGAGGUGGGCGGAAUUCGUGGUGUAGCGGUGAAAUGCUUAGAUAUCACGAAGAACUCCGAUUGCGAAGGCAGUUCACUGGACUGCAACUGACACUGAGGCUCGAAAGUGUGGGUAUCAAACAGGAUUAGAUACCCGAGUAGUC